rnacentral:siRNA from 1 species
AAUCUUGAGCCAUAAAUGCACU